AUUGAACGCUGGCGGCAGGCCUAACACAUGCAAGUCGAACGAGUGGCGGACGGGUGAGUAAUGUCUGGGAAACUGCCUGAUGGAGGGGGAUAACUACUGGAAACGGUAGCUAAUACCGCAUACCAUCGGAUGUGCCCAGAUGGGAUUAGCUUGUUGGUGGGGGAACGGCUCACCAAGUCGACGAUCCCUAGCUGGUCUGAGAGGAUGACCAGCCACACCGGAAGUGAGACACGGUCCAGACGCCUACGGGAGGCAGCAGGGGGGAAUAGUGCACAAUGGGCGCAAGCCUGAUGCAGCAAUGCCGCGUGUAUGAAGAAGGCCUUCGGGUUGUAAAGUACUUUCAGCGGGGAGGCGUUACUCGCAGAAGAAGCACCGGCUAACUCCGUGCCAGCAGCCGCGGUAAUAC
rnacentral:rRNA from 1 species